UACGUACGGGGCAAGCGGUGUCCGGAUUUAUUGGGCGUAAAGCGCGCGCAGGCGGUCUCUUAAGUCUGAUGUGAAAGCCCACGGCUCAACCGUGGAAGGUCAUUGGAAACUGGGAGACUUGAGUGUAGGAGAGGAAAGUGGAAUUCCACGUGUCGCGGUGAAAUGCGUAGAGAUGUGGAGGAACACCAGUGGCGAAGGCGACUUUCUGGCCUAUAACUGACGCUGAGGCGCGAAAGCGUGGGGAGCAAACAGG
rnacentral:rRNA from 1 species